rfam:Halobacteroides halobius DSM 5150, complete genome.
UAGAACUAAAAGACCUAUCAGUCAAAUGAGAGGGUUAACACCUUGAAGGGCUGACGAUGAUACUCCGAACUGCAAUAAAUUGAUUAAGUAAUUUAUUGUAGUAAGCUCGGUGAAGUCGGGUGAGAGUUGUCGUAAUCAUACGAAAAUUAUUCAGCGGUGGAUAAUGCAACUUAUAGCUCGGUCGCCCAUAAA